UACGAAGGGAGCUAGCGUUGUUCGGAAUCACUGGGCGUAAAGCGCACGUAGGCGGAUUUGUAAGUCAGGGGUGAAUCCCGGGGCUCAACCUCGGAACUGCCUUUGAUACUGCAAAUCUCGAGUCCGAUAGAGGUGGGUGGAAUUCCUAGUGUAGAGGUGAAAUUCGUAGAUAUUAGGAAGAACACCGGUGGCGAAGGCGGCCCACUGGAUCGGUACUGACGCUGAGGUGCGAAAGCGUGGGGAGCAAACAGG
rnacentral:rRNA from 1 species